CACAUGCAGUCGAACGAUGAACCAGGAGCUUGCUCUUGGGGAUUAGUGGCGAACGGGUGAGUAACACGUGAGCAAUGUGCCCUUGACUCUGGAAUAAGCGCUGGAAACGGCGUCUAAUACCGGAUACGACCUUCGGAGGCAUCUCCUGGAGGUGGAAAGAACUUCGGUCAAGGAUCAGCUCACGGCCUAUCAGCUUGUUGGUGAGGUAACGGCUCACCAAGGCGACGACGGGUAGCCGGCCUGAGAGGGUGACCGGCCACACUGGGACUGAGACACGGCCCAGACUCCUACGGGAGGCAGCAGUGGGGAAUAUUGCACAAUGGGCGCAAGCCUGAUGCAGCAACGCCGCGUGAGGGACGACGGCCUUCGGGUUGUAAACCUCUUUUAGCAGGGAAGAAGCGAAAGUGACGGUACCUGCAGAAAAAGCACCGGCUAACUACGUGCCAGCAGCCGCGGUAAUACGUAGGGUGCAAGCGUUGUCCGGAAUUAUUGGGCGUAAAGAGCUCGUAGGCGGUUUGUCACGUCUGCUGUGAAAUCCCGAGGCUCAACCUCGGGCUUGCAGUGGGUACGGGCAGACUAGAGUGCGGUAGGGGAGAUUGGAAUUUCCUGGUGUAGCGGUGGAAUGCGCAGAUAUCAGGAGGAACACCGAUGGCGAAGGCAGAUYUCUGGGCCGUAACUGACGCUGAGGAGCGAAGCAUGGSGGAGCAAACAGGCUUAGAUACCCUGGUAGUCAUGCGUAACCGUUGGAACUAGAUGUGGGACUUCCCACGGUCUCCGUGUCGUAGCUUACGCAUUAGCUUCCCCCCGCCUGGGARUACGGACGCAGGCUAACUCGACUAAUUGACGGGGUCCCGUCAAGCGGCGGACAAUGCGAUCAUUCGAUGCAUCGGUAGAGCUUAGCA
rnacentral:rRNA from 1 species